AUGGCCAUCCCCACGGCCCUCGCCGUCCGCGCCUCUCCCUCCUGCCAAUUCUCGCACAGUUCGUCCUUUGCCUGCUCUCCUUUGUCUAGGCGGAAUGGAAGCAGUGCAUCUCGGCGCCUCCGAGGACUGCAAGUUUUAACAUCAGGUGUUUCUGCACGGUUGGAUGAGAGGAUACACAGUCAAUCUUAUCCGAGGAAAAAUACAAUCGUGGCAUCAGAGAAUGAAAAUCCACCUUUAAUGCCUGCUAUCAUGACUCCUGGUGGCCCUCUGGAUCUGGCAACCGUACUGCUAGGAAACCGUAUAAUCUUCAUUGGUCAAUAUGUUAACUCGCAAGUGGCACAACGUGUGAUAUCACAGCUUGUCACACUUUCUGCUAUAGAUGAAGAGGGUGAUAUUCUGAUCUAUCUUAACUGCCCUGGCGGAAGUCUCUAUUCUAUCUUAGCAAUUUAUGAUUGCAUGUCCUGGAUCUCACCAAAAGUUGGGACAGUGUGCUUUGGUGUUGUUGCUAGUCAAGCAGCAAUCAUUCUUGCUGGUGGUGAGAAGGGGAUGCGCUAUGCGAUGCCUAAUGCCAGAGUAAUGAUUCAUCAGCCUCAAGGUGGAUCGGAGGGUAAUACGGAGGAGGUGAGGAGACAGGUUGGGGAAACCAUUUAUGCUCGAGAUAAAGUUGACAAAAUGUUUGCUUCUUUCACGGGGCGACCCAUCGAUAUAGUGCGACAGUGGACAGAGAGGGAUCGUUUCAUGUCGUCGUCCGAGGCCAUGGACUUCGGACUAGUCGACGCAUUGCUGGAAACGGGAUGCUAA
rnacentral:rRNA from 1 species